rnacentral:rRNA from 1 species
UAUGGUAGUGCCAGCAGCCGCGGUAAUACGGAAGGUCCGGGCGUUAUCCGGAUUUAUUGGGUUUAAAGGGAGCGUAGGCCGGAGAUUAAGCGUGUUGUGAAAUGUAGACGCUCAACGUCUGCACUGCAGCGCGAACUGGUUUCCUUGAGUACGCACAAAGUGGGCGGAAUUCGUGGUGUAGCGGUGAAAUGCUUAGAUAUCACGAAGAACUCCGAUUGCGAAGGCAGCUCACUGGAGCGCAACUGACGCUGAAGCUCGAAAGUGCGGGUAUCGAACAGG